GCCAGGUUUCGGUAAGCACCAAUACAUCGUAUUCAGUCUCCAUUACCGAUAAGCGGAACUCAUCGGCUUUAGAGCGCAGACCACGCACAUUUUGAUAAAACACGGUUAUACGCGUCGCUUGAUCGCUGGGUGCUUGAUGUAAUGAAGUGUUAGUAGCUGGUAUGUUGGAGAUGACGGAGCUUAUCGUAGAUGGUGAGUGUAUGAUGAGUGUCUGUGUUGUCGAAGAGAUUGCUCGGACCGUGUGAGUACCAUAUGACUGCGCUGCUGUGGUGCGGUUACUUCGGAAAAAAUUGAGCCAUUGUAGUUUGACGCGUUUUUGCUCGUGAUGUGGACGGAAGAGUAGGUGAAGUGAGAGUGCGAUUCAUAUCGGUUGGUGAGUGUUCAGCUUGUGUCUGCGAAGGUUCACGGAUAAGUGCAGGAAGUGCAUCCGGGGGAAAUUGGUUGCAGUGCUGGAAGGAUGCUGAGUGGGACGCGAAUCCGGCAAAGCCAUCCCGAAUCUCUUGCACUACCGGUGGGACUAAGCUGGACUUCAUUGCUUCAACGGCAGCUGUGAGGGCGGCUUGAAAGCCAACUUGCAUACCCGUACCCUUAAACACUUUGCUUCGCGGAUUACCAAUCGCAUUAGUACACGCAAUGCAACUCCAGUGCAGCGAAGGCAUCCUUUUCACUUCGUCGAUCACUGAUAUGGGCACUUUCGUGCACGCCAGAUGAUGCAAGCUGCGGAUGAACGUCGAAGGAGCCACGAAUAGAAGCCGAAAAUAUCGUGAACACAGUAGUUAUCGUCAGGAAAACAAUACUAGGAUCGCGGGAACUGCACUUAUGGACUCAGCAAAACUAAAAUCGGUUAGAGCGAAAACCGAUUACACGGAUAAAAUCGUGGAUAAAUUCGGAGCGAUUAGCAGUAAACACACUAAGUUGGCAGCUGUCAGACCGAGAGUGUGCUGUACGAUGUAGUAGCAGCUGCAGGACGAAGGAUGAACGCCGGCAAAUGCCGAAUUCACCACGCUAACAGAACAAACACUCCCCUCAGUCACCAAACUCAGCCAAAUCGAUAGUCGCCCCUCGUACUGCCGCCCACCACAAAUAUACUGGACCAUCAAAAAUCAGCUGCGGGCUGGUUGCAAUAGUGUCAUUGCUAACCGUCAUUUUGCCAAACUCGUGCAGCAAAAAUACCAUAACCACCAUCUCAUCUUCACUGACGGAUUAGUACAAAACGGUUCCUCUGGCUGUGGAAUCUACUCCAGCAUCGACAAUAGCGCCAUCCGACUACCAGACCAUAGCUCAAUCUUCACCGUAGAAGCAAUUGCUGCUGAUAAAGGUCUACACAGAGACAAACCCAACGUAAUUUUUACCGACAGUGCAAGUGUCCUUCAAGCACCCGAACAUCCAACAACUGUGCAAUAUUCCGAAUUCACCCCAAGUCACAUUCUGCUAAAUUCCUGGUCACACAGGUAUCCAGGGAAACGAAAUAGCAGACCGACUAGCUAACGCAGGACGUAAUAACUCGGCCUACUGCCAUAACACUUGUGGCGACCACGGUGUGGCCCUAUCACUGUUCGGAGCUGACCUCCGGUUGUACACACCGCACACGCUUAAUCCAGGAAACGUCAGCCUGACAUAAAAUGGUCUACCGUUAUUUCUGGCAGCCAAACACUCUUUCACGCCGUGACUUCAUCCGCCUUAGCAAAACCAUCAUCGCCAAUAGCUGGAAUGGGUAUUGGGUUAGCAACGGUCGCUUUUUCCUGAGUACCUUCAAGACCACAACACCACCAUCGAAAGACCAUCCUUCACACCAAGAUCAGAGAAUCCAAUCACGACUUCGGAUAGGACACACCCGGCUCACCCACACCUUUUUAUUACAAAAUCAAACCCACCACUAUGCAGUUUCUGUGGCGUCGACAUCACCGUCUGUCACAUCUUCACCGAAUGGCAUGGAUAUUCUGCGGAACGCAUCACCUGCAAAUUAGACAUAGAGACCAUCCUCUCGCCAGGCAGCGAUUGCCAGCGUAAACUUUUAAAAUUGCUUCGUAUCACUAAUCUUUAUAAACAACUCUAACCAAACCACAUUUGUAACAGACAAUAAAAUCAACGGAUAGCUUUACGUAAACCGAGACUACCCGGUAUAAGGUAACUACAAGCCACAAAUGGCUUGCAAAGAAGAAUGUUAGAUUUUAGUAUAGUAUAGAUAGUAUAGAUUUUAAAAGUAUAGAAUUAAUGAACCGAUUGAAAGAGGCCAAUUGGAUCAAAGUCUCUAUAAAAAUUAAGAAAAAAAAAAACCAAUGGUAUUUAGCGAAU